rnacentral:rRNA from 1 species
ACCUGCGGAGGGAUCAUUGCUGGAACGCGCUUCGGCGCACCCAGAAACCCUUUGUGAACUUAUACCUAUUUGUUGCCUCGGCGUAGGCCGGCCUCUUCACUGAGGCCCCCUGGAAACAGGGAGCAGCCCGCCGGCGGCCAACUAAACUCUUGUUUCUAUAGUGAAUCUCUGAGUAAAAACAUAAAUGAAUCAAAACUUUCAACAACGGAUCUCUUGGUUCUGGCAUCGAUGAAGAACGCAGCGAAAUGCGAUAAGUAAUGUGAAUUGCAGAAUUCAGUGAAUCAUCGAAUCUUUGAACGCACAUUGCGCCCUCUGGUAUUCCGGAGGGCAUGCCUGUUCGAGCGUCAUUUCAACCCUCAAGCCUGGCUUGGUGAUGGGGCACUGCCUUCUAACGAGGGCAGGCCCUGAAAUCUAGUGGCGAGCUCGCUAGGACCCCGAGCGUAGUAGUUAUAUCUCGUUCUGGAAGGCCCUGGCGGUGCCCUGCCGUUAAACCCCCAACUUCUGAAAAUUUGACCUCGGAUCAGGUAGGAAUACCCGCUGAACUUAA